GGGCUGGCUUUAGCCCAGCGGUUCCCAACCGCCCUGGCCGAUAGGUCCGGUGGUUUGAGACCCGUGGGCGCUCUCCAGUCCUUUU
ensembl:misc_RNA Vault Vault RNA